UGCGGCUGGAACAUCUCAUUUUAGAGCGUCUUAAAGACGAUAAAAAAAUUAGUAUCGCAAGAUACAGCACUUACUUAAAGUUCAGGCUUUAGUUUUUAUUUGGUUGAUAUAUAACAAUACAAAACCCACUAGAAAUUAGUAAAGGGAUUGAGAUACAAGAGCCCAGAGCGAAGAACCAAGACGAAUGAAAGUCUUGUAUCUAGCAUCUAGGAUCUGUAAGUCUAAAAAGACAGUCUCGUAGCUCAGCUGGUUAGAGCGCUACACUGAUAAUGUAGAGGUCGGCAGUUCGAGCCUGCCCGAGACUACUAAUUAAAAAGACGGGAAGACAUCAGAUAUGAGACAUCAGACAUUUAAGUCUGAGAUCUGGGAUCUGAUAUCUGAAGUCUACUAGCGGGGAAUUAGCUCAGCUGGCUAGAGCGCCUGCCUUGCACGCAGGAGGUCAAGGGUUCGACUCCCUUAUUCUCCACAGUUUUGUGAGUUUGAUUUAAAAGUUACGGAUGGAGCCAAAAACAACAUCUGUUUAUCAGACGAGCAAGAAGCAAUUAAGAUCAUUGACAUUAACGGUAAAGACAUCACAAAGAGAUAACCGAGCACUUUCGAGUGCGAAGUUUAAAAAUAUUAAUUAGCAUUGAAUGCUAAUGACAAAACUAAACUAAUAUAAUUAUUAGGAAAGAAAUCGUUAAGGGCGUAU
rnacentral:tRNA from 1 species